GGCCGGUUGGCCCAAUGGCAAGGCGUCUGACUACGAUUCCAUCGUGCGAUCAGGAGAUUCUGGGUUCGACCCCCAGGCUGGUCA
rnacentral:tRNA from 1 species